rnacentral:rRNA from 1 species
GACGAACGCUGGCGGCGCGCCUAACACAUGCAAGUCGAACGGAGCUUUGAGAGCUUGCUUUUAAAGCUUAGUGGCGAACGGGUGAGUAACGCGUGAGUAACCUGCCCUGGAGUGGGGGACAACAGUUGGAAACGACUGCUAAUACCGCAUAACGCUUGAGGGUGGCAUCACCUUUAAGCCAAAGGAGCAAUCCGCUGUAAGAUGGCUUCGCGUCCGAUUAGACAGUUGGCGGGGUAACGGCCCACCAAAUCUACGAUCAGUAGCCGGUCUGAGAGGAUGAACGGCCACAUUGGGACUGAGACACGGCCCAG